GCGAGUCGAACGGUAGCAGGCCUUCGGGCGCUGACGAGUGGCGGACGGGUGAGUAACGCGUAGGAAUCUGCCUCAUAGUGGGGGACAACGUGGGGAAACUCACGCUAAUACCGCAUACGCCCUACGGGGGAAAGCGGGGGACCUUCGGGCCUCGCGCUAUGAGAUGAGCCUGCGUUAAAUUAGCUAGUUGGUAGGGUAAAGGCCUACCAAGGCGACGAUCUAUAGCUGGUCUGAGAGGACGAUCAGCCACACUGGGACUGAGACACGGCCCAGACUCCUACGGGAGGCAGCAGUGGGGAAUAUUGGACAAUGGGCGCAAGCCUGAUCCAGCAAUACCGCGUGUGUGAAGAAGGCCCUAGGGUUGUAAAGCACUUUCAAUGGGGAGGAAAACAGUCAGAUUAAUACCCUGGCUCUUGACAUUACCUUUAGAAGAAGCACCGGCUAACUCCGUGCCAGCAGCCGCGGUAAUACGGAGGGUGCGAGCGUUAAUCGGAAUUACUGGGCGUAAAGCGUGCGUACGCGGUUCGUUAAGUCAUAGGUGAGAGCCCCGGGCUUAACCUG
rnacentral:rRNA from 1 species